GUGGGGAAUAUUGGACAAUGGGCGAAAGCCUGAUCCAGCCAUGCCGCGUGUGUGAAGAAGGUCUUCGGAUUGUAAAGCACUUUAAGUUGGGAGGAAGGGCAGUAAGUUAAUACCUUGCUGUUUUGACGUUACCGACAGAAUAAGCACCGGCUAACUUAGUGCCAGCAGCCGCGGUAAUACGAAGGGUGCAAGCGUUAAUCGGAAUUACUGGGCGUAAAGCGCGCGUAGGUGGUUUUGUAAGUUGGAGGUGAAAUCCCCGGGCUCAACCUGGGAACUGCCUCCAAAACUGCAUGACUAGAGUACGGUAGAGGGUAGUGGAAUUUCCUGUGUAGCGGUGAAAUGCGUAGAUAUAGGAAGGAACACCAGUGGCGAAGGCGACUACCUGGACUGAUACUGACACUGAGGUGCGAAAGCGUGGGGAGCAAACAGGAUUAGAAACCCCAGUAGUCC
rnacentral:rRNA from 1 species